AGCAUACAAUAAGCGGAGGAAAAGAAACCAACAGGGAUUGCCUCAGUAACGGCGAGUGAAGCGGCAACAGCUCAAAUUUGAAAUCUGGCCCUAGGCCCGAGUUGUAAUUUGCAGAGGAUGCUUUUGGUGCGGUGCCUUCCAAGUUCCCUAGAACGGGACGCCAGAGAGGGUGAGAGCCCCGUACAGUUGGACACCAAGCCUUUGUAAAGCUCCUUCGACGAGUCGAGUAGUUUGGGAAUGCUGCUCAAAAUGGGAGGUAUAUUUCUUCUAAAGCUAAAUACCGGCCAGAGACCGAUAGCGCACAAGUAGAGUGAUCGAAAGAUGAAAAGCACUUUGAAAAGAGGGUUAAACAGCACGUGAAAUUGUUAAAAGGGAAGCGCUUGUGACCAGACUUGCGUCCGGUGAAUCACCCAGCUCUCGCGGCUGGGGCACUUCGCCGGCUCAGGCCAGCAUCAGCUCGCUGUCGGGGACAAAAGCUUCAGGAACGUAGCUCUCUUCGGGGAGUGUUAUAGCCUGUUGCAUAAUACCCUUCGGCGGGCUGAGGUACGCGCUCCGCAAGGAUGCUGGCAUAAUGGUCAUCAGCGACCCGUCUUGAAACACGGACCAAGGAGUCAACCUUAUGUGCGAGUGUUCGGGUGUCAAACCCCUACGCGUAAUGAAAGUGAACGCAGGUGAGAGCUUCGGCGCAUCAUCGACCGAUCCUGAUGUUCUCGGAUGGAUUUGAGUAAGAGCAUAUAGGGUUGGACCCGAAAGAAGGUGAACUAUGCGUGUAUAGGGUGAAGCCAGAGGAAACUCUGGUGGAGGCUCGCAGCGGUUCUGACGUGCAAAUCGAUCGUCAAAUAUGCGCAUGGGGGCGAAAGACUAAUCGAACCUUCUAGUAGCUGGUUUCCCC
rnacentral:rRNA from 1 species